GAUGAAGAACGUAGCGAAAUGCGAUACUUGGUGUGAAUUGCAGAAUCCCGUGAACCAUCGAGUCUUUGAACGCAAGUUGCGCCCGAAGCCACUAGGCCGAGGGCACGCCUGCCUGGGCGUCACACGCCGUUGCCCCCCCAUCUACUCCUUCGGGAUUGCGGGGGGGCGGAUGAUGGCCUCCUGUGCGCCUAGCCGCGCGGUUGGCAUAAAUACCAAGUCCUCGGCGACGCACGCCACGACAAUCGGUGGUUGCGAAACCUCGGUUGCCCGUCGUGUGCGUUCGUCGCGCAUCGAGGGCUCGAAAAAAUGCUCGGCUCCGGCUGGGCUUUCAACGCGACCCCAGGUCAGGCGGGGUUACCCGCUGAAUUUAAGAAUAUCAAUAAGCGGAGGA
rnacentral:misc_RNA from 1 species